AACGAACGCUGGCGGCAGGCUUAACACAUGCAAGUCGAGCGCCCCGCAAGGGGAGCGGCCGACGGGUGAGUAACGCGUGGGAAGCUACCCAUCUCUAUGGAAUAACGCAUGGAAACGUGUGCUACUACCGUAUACGUCCUUCGGGAGAAAGAUUUAUCGGAGAUGGAGGAGGCCGCGUUGGAUAAGCUAGUUGGUGGGGUAAAGGCCUACCAAGGCGACGAUCCAUAGCAGGUUUGAGAGGAUGGUCCGCCACACUGGGACUGAGACACGGACCAGACUCAUACGGAAUGCAGCAGUGGGGGAUAUUGGACAAUGGGCGCAAGCCUGAUCCAGCCAUGCCGCGUGAGUGAUGAAGGCCCGAGGGUUGUAAAGCUCUUUCAUCGCUGAAGAUAAUGACGUUAACCGGAGAAGAAGCCCCGGCUAACUUCGUGCCAGCCGCCGCAGUAAAAC
rnacentral:rRNA from 1 species